UGUAUUGUAAUUGUCACAUGACUUCAAAAUGGUAGAAGAACUCUUAGUGUGUAAAGCGAAACUUAGCCAAAUUUUAUAAUGAAACAUUGUGAACAUAAGCUACGAAUAUAUGGUCUUAUCCUUAUCUUUGUGUGGUAUCUUGGUGUGAACACACUCACAACUGAGUUUCCACCUACCAGACUACAGGACUGUAAUUCAACUAGAACAUGUGCAGUUUGUAACGCAGGAUAUUUUGCCAACCAGUCAUGGGCUGAGUGCAGUUGUUGUCCACGCAGUGGCUAUUGUUUGGACAGCUGCAGUGCUUGUCCACCAGGAGCAGAACAACCAAAAAGUAGAGAGAUUGAAUGUACCCUCUGUAAACCAGGACACUUUACCCCCAAAGAUGCUACAAUAGAAUGCCCAUCAUGUGAGAAAGG